rnacentral:misc_RNA from 1 species
AAGUCGUAACAAGGUUUCCGUAGGUGAUAGCUGCAUGGCAUCCCGAAGCAGUCAGUGUCUGAAAGUGUCAUUGAUUGUCUAAGGAUCUCGCCUCAACGAUUGCCAGACCCCUUUACAACCCCAUUACCUCUGUGAGUCGCGGGAAACUAGCGGCUAAAAAACCUCGAACAACUGUUAACAAUGGAUAUCUUGGUUCUC